GUGAAUCAUCAAAUCUUUGAACGCAAAUUGCACUCCCUGGUAUUCCGGGGAGUAUGCCUGUUUGAGGGUCGUUAGAAAAAAAAACGAAGCGUCGCUCUUUUUUUUAAGGGUGAUCGCAUCGGAAUAAAGCCGUCUUUCAAAUGUUAAUUCAUGUCUAAGUGGCUUAAAAUUCACCCAUCCGCUGGGAUUAAUCGGGUCUAAGC
rnacentral:misc_RNA from 1 species